AAGGAACAUUCACCUAAUGGAUGGAUUCAUUUUCUUUACAGCACUUUGCCACUCACUGAGGCAGCUUUAUAUAAUCCCGAAUCAGACAUAUUUCUUUGUUUCAUGUGUGUAUAUGACUCUUAACGGGACAGUAAAGUGUAAAAUGUAAAGUAUCCUCUAGUUUCGAGUUGCGCUUUUAUCUGAGGAUCCCGGAGCAGCGCGCGUGACCUGGGCUCCGUCCCAAACAGCACACUAAUAUAACUGUAAGUGGUAGCCUACUAUUUCGACAUACGGUUUGGGGCAUAGCCCGUGUCACACGGCUAUUUACCAGAGCACUUAGGAUUCGUACUAUUUAGCAAGGUAGGUAGGAUGAUGGUUUGGACGCAGCCACAGUCACACGGCUCUCCGCGUAAAGGCGGUGUUCUGUUUUGAUAUAUAAUUUCAUCAGUAGUGUGUGAUUUGGGACGUAGCCAGUCGCAGGGGGCUUUGAUGAAGGCUACUUUGAUGUUGAUUAUGGAUCAGCAAAACACGGCGAGUUUCAGGGUGAAAUCCGGCUCCCAAAGAUUUGGAGAGUACCGCCAGGAGUUGUAUGUGGAGUACUCCAGCAAUGAUGUGGAUAAUAAAGACACUUCUAAAACCGUGGACAUGGAACAUAAGCCGUUAAGAGCAACAGGGAGUAUAAAAGGGACCUCAGCAGUUUCUGAAGACAAGAUCCCCACAGUGUUGGCUCUUCAGCUGGCUAUAGCAGAAGGUCCAGACCGGCUUCCUGCUGACAAGGACACACAGGAAGUUCUGUGCGGGAAGCUGCGUGUACUGGAGACUGACCUCAGCAAUAUUUCAUCCUUGAUCUCUGAAUUCUCUGCUCAUCUGGUGUCCAUCAACAGUGAGGAAAGAACCAUAUUUAUCACUUUUAAAUCAUUUGAAGAAAUAUGGAAGUUCAGCACAUACCACAGAAUGGGUUUCCUGCGUCAGUGUUUGGGGAACCUUCUUUUGGACCAAGAAUUCUGGCUUAAUGCUUUAGACCAGGAGGACUCAGGAAUUGAGGUCUCAAUUAAAGAGGAGGUUCUUAAUCAGAUGUACAAAGGCUUUCUGAUGCAAGAAGGCUCAUUUUUUGGGAGUUGCACAGUGAAUCAGAUGUUUGACAGCUGCACAUCAGGCAGUGAUCUUUAUCUUGAGAAGGGCGAUAUUGCUCUGUUUGAGCCUCCAUUCCUGGGCUCGGGUUGGACUGUGCUAUCCUUGGCAGAUGGAUCAAGAGGGACUAAAGCACAGCCAGCCCUGGAACCUGUCAUUCCAUUUCAUGAGUGGUUUCUAAAGUCCUGUCCUGAGUGGGUUUUGGUAGGCAGUGGAAAAAAAUGCUGUGAUCUCCCGUAUCAAAUUGCUGUAGGUAUCUGUGAGGCUACAGAGGUCUAUGAUGGUAAUGGACCCGAUGAGCUCAGCUUUGAGGCUGGUGAUCGCAUCAUCAUCGAGGGCCUGCUGGUGACCUGUUUUGAGUGGUUCAUGGGCAAGCUGGAGAGGACUGGUGAUAUGGGACUUGUCAAAACCAGCCUUGUAAAAGAAACCGAUUCUCUUUGUGAAUCUAAUGAAAUCUUUAUGAAACAAGAAGACAGAAAAAUCUUCAACUUGGAACAAGAGACGAUUAAAAAGGAAGCUAUUGCUUUUUUAAAGAAAACCUGCCAAAGCAAUGUUGCUACAGUCUACAAACUUGAUUCAGCAAGUCCAAGAUCAAUUCAAAAUGGACCCACCAACAGUGAACAUGUAUGCAUGAAAAGAAAUAUUGCCAAUAUUUUGAAUGAAAUAAGGGAACCUCUUCAGAAUGAGCAGACACAGACACAAGACAGUGUGAAGCUCCAAACCGACGAGCCCACAGGAUCCACAGAGUCACCGCAAGAAAUCCCACACUUUACUGUAUGUUCAGAGCAGGAUGGUACCAAUCCAGAUGGAUACCAUUCCCUCCUGUCCUUCCUAGGCAGCCGUGAUCACCGGCCUGAGUUUCAGCCUCUCUAUGCUGCCUACCCAGAAUUCCUCCUGUUGCAUUUCCAGGGCCACAGCGAUGAGGAGGAGCUGGUAGCGUAUUUAGGUGUUGCUCGGGAAGCUGCAAGAAAAAAGCGGAUGUCAUGGGCACAGAGCAGAAUCUGUUUCCUCUUGGGACAGCUGUGUGCGGGAAGGUCAAAGUUCUCCCAGGCACGCGUCUAUUAUGAAGAAGCCUUAAGCGUACCCAGAGACUAUUUCACAGACAUGUACCUUCUCUCAGCUAUCUACUCUAACCUGGCCCUCAUCUAUCUCACACAAAAAAAUGCAGAGAAGUAUCUUGCUCUAUCUGAACGUUUUGCUGCUUUAUUGAUGGCAGUCUGUGACUAUUUAUCUGGCACAGAAGACCCAGAGGUGUUGAAGUUUGCAUUGAAAAAGGCAGUUCUGUCCCAGAACAAACCUGCAGAAGCCAGGGUCUGCUUCCUGCUAGCCAAGUUUUAUCUGAAGCUUGGAGAAGGGACGAAUGCAGUGCCUUUCAUUGAACGGCUACAGAUUUUGGCUGAUGAGAUGCCUGGAGCUUGUGACAAGUUGCGGAGUCAUGGUUUUUUACUGUUAGCAAGGCUUUAUAGUGACUAUGGUCUUCUUCAUCUAGCUGAAAGCUCAGCAUGGCAAGCAUGUCUGCAGGUGUCUUCCUCAGUCACUGAUUGUUUCUGCAGCGUCUCUUUGCUGUUAGAGAAUGGCCGAGAACUGUAUGGUGUGGACAUCCCAGCACAAGUGGCUCCAUGUUUGACUCGAGCUGCUGCUAUGGAAUCUGCUGACAUGGAGCCCAGCCUUUCACAUGCCUAUGCCCUGUGUCUGUCUUGGCUUUUCCACAAGCAUGGCAUGCCUAAAAGGGCAAUUCAGUACAUGUGUAGCUUCCUCAACCAUUCCUCUGCUACCACACUGAGCCGUUCUGAUGCCAGUGCUGCUCUUAUCUGGCUAGCGUGGUUAUAUAUCUGUGACUUGCAGCACCACAGUGCUCUGGAUGUGCUGGACUCAGUCCUGUCCUCCCUCCCCGAGCACCGCACAACCCAGCUGGAGGGUGUCAUCUAUAAUAUGCGUGGCAUCACUUUGAGACAUGCUGGUGAUGUAAAACAAGCUGCAGAGAACUUCCAUGCUGCGGUUGAUGUCUGUGAGGAGUUUGAAGAUAAGCACAACUGGGCCACAGCACUGGCCAACUUUGGCUUCUUGAGUCUGCAGGUCAAUGCGAAGAGGGUAGCAGAGGAGCAGCUCACCCAGGCAGUAGAGCUGUUCUCUGAGCUAGAGGAUAAAGAUCUAGAGAUAAAGCUGAACUUUGUUGUUGUGCUUCUGGAGCUUGGGAAGCUUUAUGUCUCACAGGGUUUUUAUGAGAAAGGAAAGGUCUGCUAUGAGUGGGCCCUGCUGAUUUCCAUCGUCUAUGAUAACUCAGAGCGCCAACUGCAAGCCACCCGUCACCUGUGCCAGCUGUAUAGUGAAGCAUGUCCUGAUGAAGUUCAGUGUAUCAUCUAUAAUGAACACCAGCUGAACCUGCUGCACCAGACAGGAGACAGAACCCUGGAGGCAGAGAUAUUGGAGAAGAUCAGCCAGCUGUACCUCAGCCUGGGCACCAAAAAAGCAAAUAGAUAUGCUCUGGACUACACCAAAAGAAGUAUAGGGAUCUACAUCGACAUGGGGAGGAAGAGGAAAGAGGCUCACGGUUGGCUCCAGGCAGGAAAAAUCUACCACAUCCUCAAACAGACUGAGCUGGUGGAUCUCUAUGUGCAGGUAGCGCAAGACAUUGCUUUAAGCACAGGAGACACACUAUUCAUUCUGGAGCUGCUGGAGGCCGCAGGGGACGCAUUCUUUAACAGCACACUGGACAGAGAGAAAGCUGUCUGCUUCUACAGGGACCGAGCCCUCCCGAUUGCAGUGAAAUCAAGCAGUGUGCGUUGUCAGCUCAGAUUGUGCAAUAAGCUAGCAGAGUUGCUGCUACAGCUGGGACAGUAUGGAGAAGCUCUGGAGUAUGCGCAGACUGCAUUAGAGAUCAGCGUCAGUCUGGCUGACCGUUUGAACGAGCGUGUGGCGUUCCAUCGUCUGGCUACGCUCUACCACUGCCUGAGUCAGUUUGAGCUUGCUGAGCACCACUUCCUAAAGGCCCUCUCGCUCUGUCCCUCGCCCUUGCAGUUUGAUGAGGAAGCCCUGUACUAUGUCAAGGUCUAUCAGACACUAGGUGACAUUACCUUCUACGAUCUAAAGGAUCCAUUUGAUGCAGCAGGUUAUUACCACCUCGCCCUGGCAGCUGCCAUGGACCUGGGCAAUAAGAAGUCUCAGCUUGAGCUGUGCACUCGCCUGGCCACAGUCUACCACAACUUCCUCAUGGAUCGUGAGCUCUCCCUGCACUUCUACCAACGUGCCCGAGCCUUCGCUGCUGAUCUUAAUAUCCGCCGCAUCAACCUAUCACCAAAUCAGAGUUUCCGCACCACAUCCCAAUACAGAAUCACAGCCUUGCAGGAGACAACCUAGACAGUCAAAGUGUACUGAGAAAACAGAAACCUAAACUGCACUGAAGCACACCACUGUAAUUUUUACAGACCAGAUGCUUUGUGUAGUGGUUCAUUUGCUUUCAUUUGUGUUGACUGGCUUGCUGAUAUUUGAGGUCAGAAAACCUGACUGAUUCAACAUUUGCCCUCAUCUGAUUACUCGUGUUGCUCCAGCAGUCAGAUUUAGCAAGAGUGUCAACUAAAGGACAAAAUAUCUCUUUGCCUGUAAUGGAUCCAGGGUGUAUUCCUGCUUCAUUUCCAGUAUUCCUGGGAUGGGCGCCAGACUCACUUCAACCUUGAACAGGAUAAAGCGAUUACUGAAAAAUACCACAUCCACAAAUAGAUGGAAAGAAAGAAUAAACCAAUGAAUAUUAAUAGAAACUAGAUAAUUAAAGGCAAGCCUUUAAAUUUAAGUGUAACCUACAUAUGACUGGAGUAAUAUGCUCUGGUUAACAUACAUCUGGUUCUGACCUUUAAAUGAUAACACAGUUUUACAGAUGGUACUUAUGUAACACCCAAAUGAAAGACCAGCAUCAAGAGCAACUCCUAGGACCUUAGGAGUAGUUUGGAACAUUUUGUUUGCACAAAAAAAAAAAACCCAUAUGAAAACAAACACCAUCUUUGUUUCUAGCAGACUUAGUAUCAAAUGUAAAUCCUUACAUUUUAACAGUAUUUAAAAAACUCAUUAUAAACCUUUAAAUAAAAAAGGUUCGAAAUGGACAUUCAACUCUUCAUAUAAUGUCAGAAAAUCAUGCACAGCUGCUAAAUAUUGUUAAAUAAUUAAUGUAGACUCCCUAUCCUAAGUUGUCCUGCAGAAUUACAUGAUUUAAGCAAUGGUUUAACUCCUGGAAUCAAGUGAAAACAAAGAGAUGCUCUGUUUUCACUAAGUGCUGAAAAUGACUAGUGUUACGGUUUCAAAUAAAUAUUUUCAUGGCUGGUGUGAUCCCACAACUCGACCUGAACUGCUCUUCUCUGACAAAACAAACAGCAGAAGCUAAAACUCUGAUACUUGCAAGUGUGUAUGUGUUAGAAAGACAUGACCAACAUGUGUUGCAUGGGCCUGGACCAUAAACCCCUCUGCAGAACAGACCCAGCUGUACGAGAACACUGCAAGACCUCCUCCUGCUUUUUGUUUUUUAAA